UCCCAGUUCGGAUUGUAGUCUGCAACCCGACUACAUGAAGCUGGAAUCGCUAGUAAUCGCGGAUCAGAAUGCCGCGGUGAAUACGUUCCCGGGUCUUGUACACACCGCCCGUCAAGCCAUGGGAGCCGGGGGUGCCUGAAGUUCGUGACCGCAAGGAGCGACCUAGGGCAAAACUGGUGACUGGGGCUAAGUCGUAACAAGGUAUC
rnacentral:rRNA from 1 species